rnacentral:rRNA from 1 species
ACCUGGUUGAUCCUGCCAGUAGUCAUAUGCUUGUCUCAAAGAUUAAGCCAUGCAAGUGUAAGUUCACGCCACGCUUCUGUACGGGCGAAACCGCGAAUGGCUCAGGAACCGGACCUAAUCCUCGGGACCGUAUUCCUCCUCGGAGGGAAGUGGAUAACUGUGGUAAUUCUAGAGCUAAUACAUGUGACAUAAAGCCGCGAUCGGUAGGCGGUUCGUUUGCGCGGGCCGUCUGCCGUUCCGGGUCGCGGCACUACAUAUUAGACUGAGACCGAUGCGUUUUGCUGUCCGUGCCGGUUUGUUCUGCGCCGGGGUCGGCUUCGCGGUCGGCUUCGCGUGGGCGACGGUCGGGUGGCGCGCUCACUUUUGGUGACUCUGGAUAACUCACUGGUCGAUCGCACGGGUUUCAGCCCGGCGACGGGUCCCCCGAGGGUCCGCCCUAUCAACUGUCGACGGUCGGUUAAGUGCCUACCGUGGUUACUACGGGUAACGGGGAAUCGGGGUUCGAUUCCGGAGAGGGAGCAUGCGAAACGGCUACCACAUCCAAGGAAGGCAGCAGGCGCGCAAAUUACCCACUCCCGGCACGGGGAGGUAGUGACGAAAAAUAACGACGCGGGACUCUGUCGAGGCCCCGCGAUCGGAAUGAGUACACUUCAAAUCCGUUAACGAGGAUCAACCGGAGGGCAAGUCUGGUGCCAGCAGCCGCGGUAAUUCCAGCUCCGGUAGCGUAUAUUAAAGUUGUUGCGGUUAAAAAGCUCGUAGUCCGAAUUCGGGUGUCAAUCGUUCGGGGCGGCGGCGCCAUCGUCCACGACUGACUUUGGUCGUCCGUUCGCACUCCCGGCCCUAUCCGCCGGUGUCACGGGGGGCGGCGUGUUCACGCACAGCGUUCCCUCGUGUUCCUCCAAGGGUGCUCUUCACCGAGUGUCCGCGGCGGCCGGUACGUUCACUUUGAAAAAAUUAGAGUGCUCAGAGCGGGCUGUUUCAGCUUGCAUACGAUAAGCAUGGAAUGAUGGAAGAGGGCCUCGUCCACGUCUGUCGGUCUCCGUCUACGGCGAGGCAAUGAUCGAAGGGAGCGGUCGGGGCCACUCGUAUUGCGACGUUAGAGGUGAAAUUCUUGGAUCGUCGCAAGACGAACUGCAGCGAUGGCGUGUGGCAAGCACGUUUUCCUCGAUCAAGAGCGAAAGUCGGAGGUUCGAAGACGAUCAGAUACCGUCGUAGUUCCGACCGUAAACGAUGCCGACCGGCGAUCCGCCGGCGUUCGCUUCCAUGACCCGGCGGGUAGCCUGCGGGAAACCAGAGUUCGGUUCCGGGGGGAGUAUGGUUGCAAAGCUGAAACUUAAAGGAAUUGACGGAAGGGCACCACCAGGAGUGGAGCCUGCGGCUUAAUUUGACUCAACACGGGAAAACUCACCCGGUCCGGACACCGGUAGGAUUGACAGAUCGAUAGCUCUUUCUCGAUUCGGUGGGUGGUGGUGCAUGGCCGUUCUUAGUUGGUGGAGCGAUCCGUCUGGUUGAUUCCGAUAACGAACGAGACUCCGGCCUGCUAACUAGUGCGCCGAUUACACUAAUUGCGAGUCGGUCUCCCGCACUUCUUAGAGGGACGGGUGGCAGAAAGCCACACGAGGCGGAGCGAUAACAGGUCUGUGAUGCCCUUAGAUGUCCGGGGCCGCACGCGCGCUACACUGGAGGUAUCAGCGGGGACUUCGCCCCGACCCGAGAGGGUCGGGAAACCUCUCAACCACCUCCCGUGAUAGGGAUCGGGGCCUGUAACCAACCCCGUGAACGAGGAAUUCCCGGUAGGCGCGGGUCAACAGCCCGCGUCGAUCACGUCCCUGCCCUUUGUACACACCGCCCGUCGCUACUACCGAUCGAACGGUCCGGUGAGGUCCUCGGAUCUGGCCGACGACGCCGGCGCCUCGCGUGUCGGCGUUCGAUGCCUGGAGAAGACGACCGAACCCGAUCGUUUAGAGGAAGUAAAAGUCGUAACAAGGUUUCCGUAGGUGAACCUGCGGAAGGAUCAUUA